GGGAUUGUGGCUUAGUGGCAGAGUGCUUGCUUAGCAUGCAUGAGGCCCGGGGUUGAAAUCCUCAGUACCA
rnacentral:tRNA from 1 species